UACAGGGGGGGGCAAGCGUUGUUCGGAAUUACUGGGCGUAAAGGGCUCGUAGGCGGCCAACUAAGUCCGACGUGAAAUCCCCAGGCUUAACCUGGGAACUGCGUCGGAUACUGGAUGGCUUGAAUUCGGGAGAGGGAUGCAGAAUUCCAGGUGUAGCGGUGAAAUGCGUAGAUAUCUGGAGGAAUACCGGUGGCGAAGGCGGCAUCCUGGACCGACAUUGACGCUGAUGAGCGAAAGCUAGGGGAGCAAACGGG
rnacentral:rRNA from 1 species